GUCUAUGGCCAUGCCACCCGGAACAAGCCUCUAAUCUCGGAAGCUAAGCAGGGUUAGGCCUGAUUAGUACUUGGAUGGGAGACCACCUAGGUGCUGUAGGCA
rnacentral:rRNA from 1 species